rnacentral:rRNA from 1 species
AACGCGAAGAACCUUACCUGGGCUUGAACUACUGGUAGUAAGCUUUUGGAAACAUUAGCUGAUCCGCAAGGAAGCCAGCAGAGGUGCUGCAUGGUUGUCGUCAGCUCGUGUCGUGAGAUGUUGGGUUAAGUCCCGCAACGAGCGCAACCCUUAUCCCUAGUUGCCAGCGGGUCAAGCCGGGCACUCUAGUGAAACCGCCCCGGAUAACGGGGAGGAAGGUGGGGAUGACGUCAAGUCCUCAUGGCCUUUAUGUCCAGGGCUACACACGUGCUACAAUGGUCGGUACAAACCGUCGCAAACCCGCGAGGGGGAGCUAAUCGGAAAAAGCCGACCUCAGUUCGGAUUGGAGUCUGCAACUCGACUCCAUGAAGCUGGAAUCGCUAGUAAUCGCAGAUCAGCACGCUGCGGUGAAUACGUUCCCGGGCCUUGUACACACCGGCUAC